ensembl:lncRNA LINC01287 long intergenic non-protein coding RNA 1287
GUACAACGACAGGCAAGCCUGAAACAAAAAGUUCAGCUCCAAACCCAAGCCCUGGCAGCUGCCCUGCAACCGGCAUUCCCUAAGAGCCGCGGCAGGAGAGGUAGAGGUACAAUCUCCCGGGCCCCGUCUGGCGUCUGCUUCAAGUGAGGCAACUCAGGACACUGGGCCAGCCGGUGCCCUAGCCAACAGCAACCGUCCUGCCCGCCUUGCAACUGUUUCAAGUGUGGCAAUCCAGGUCAUUGGGCAAAACAGUGCCCAAACCCCAAGCCGCCAACACACCCGUGCCCUAACUGCCAACAAAUGGAGCACUGGAGGUCAGACUGCCCCAGCCUCGGAGCGGCCGCUGUGGCUCCACAUGGCGACCCCUCCCUGGAUGGCGAAGGUGCCCUCUAGCUCCUCCAACUGGAUGACGACUGAAGAGGCCCAGGCUCGGGAACCCCUCUCACCCUUGCCGAGCCCAGGGUAAUGCUUCAGGUAGCGGAUCAACUGAGAUGCAAAACCCAUGUUCACAUCAUGAGUGAGUCUUCUAACUCGGACAAUGCAAUCAACAAAUUCUAAGACCAAAUUCCGGUGGCACUGGCUCCAAAGGACUCAUGGUCUAUCAAAGAGCAAGACCUCACCAGCUCAACACAGCCACCUCCAUACACAUCUUACUGUCACUUGUGAUCAGCACCAAAGGAAGUGUCCACCUGAAGGACUCUCCCUUGAGGACUGUCAGGAUCCACCCAAGAGGUGCUCUUUGUCCACACCACGUUCCUUUUACUGCUCCUGAGUGUGGAAGGAGGUGAACAGGGAAAAGCAGAGAGGACAAAAGUCACAUCCCCUCCCCACAGACCCAUACUGGGGAAGGGUGGAAGAUUUAGCUGCGAGUCAAGUUCAGAAUUUUGAUUAACAUCUUGGCAUGCACAUUCGAAUUUCAGAAUCAAGACUGUUGGCCAUAAAAAAUGACUAUAGCCUUGUGUAUUACCUGAACUGAGCAGUAAAAAAAAAGUCAUGGUCCUUCUGGGGCUUUUAUUCUGAGACAGGAACCCUGAACAGGCAGGAGAAAGGGAAUGUUGACAGAGAAACAAAGACAGUUGGCGACACACGCUGACCGCCAUGCGGACGUCCAUCAAACCCAGCACUGGCCCUGGGUACGUGCGCCUUUGCUAUUACCCCAAUACAUUUUCUUCUGCAGAGCAAGCAACAGAACACAUGCAGACCUUAAUAAAUACCACUGGGUAAUGUGACAAUGGCCAAACUCUCCUCACGGGGGAGAGAGUGUCCCCCAGUUUUGCUCCCUUUUAAUUUCCAGGGUUCAUAAGUAGCUCUAAAGCUUUGCUCUACAAGGUUGAUACAUACGAUAUUAAUGUUUCCCCUAAGCAGUAUAACAUAAAUAUAUUUGCUAUCUU